UACGUAGGGUGCAAGCGUUGUCCGGAAUUAUUGGGCGUAAAGAGCUCGUAGGCGGUCUGUCGCGUCUGCUGUGAAAACUCGGGGCUUAACCCCGGGCCUGCAGUGGGUACGGGCAGACUAGAGUGCGGUAGGGGAGACUGGAAUUCCUGGUGUAGCGGUGAAAUGCGUAGAUAUUAGGAGGAACACCGGUGGCGAAGGCGGGUCUCUGGGCCGUAACUGACGCUGAGGAGCGAAAGCAUGGGGAGCGAACAGG
rnacentral:rRNA from 1 species